rnacentral:pre_miRNA from 1 species
CCAUUCGAUAACUCACUCAACCUGGGUGUGAUGUGUAUUUCAAUCCAUCACAACCUCCUUGAGUGAGCGAUUGAGUUG